GCCAUUCUCUUGUACACAUACUCCUUCAUUAACGAGAACACGGGGGAUUUUUUUUUUGGGGUGGAGGGGGGGUUGCCUCUUCUUCAUCAUCUGAAGGAACACUCCAUUUCUUGGAAUUGGUACGUAAAACACCACUCAACCUUACCACAAAAAGCAUGACCCUCACCUCAAUUUUCCAUGGUUUCUUAGGAAGGGGUAGACGCACACACACAGUAACAUACAUACACACACAAACCAGUGAAAAGAAGGGGCCAAAUAUUUCAUUUUUAGGGAGAGAUUGGAACAGAGAGGGAGAGAGAUCAGAGAAACCAAAUCGAGAGAGUGUUAGGCAAAGAAAAGAGAUAUGAGGGAGAAAGCAGACAGGGGGAAGUGAUCGGAAACUGGCAAACCCGGCCAGAAAAUGUUGGGACUCUCCAGAAUCCUUCUUGACUCAUCAUUUUUUUCCACCGCCUGAGCUCACCGGAGCUCAGGCUACACGGAUUUUGUUUUUCUAACGUGUUGACUGGCUUUUAGGUUAGUCUAUUCUCGUGGUUCAUUAUGGAUAUCGGAUUUCAGGGUCUUCACGAUUAAGUGGUCAGUAUUCGUGGAUUGGAACUCUGUUCAUCUCAAUCAGUCCAUCGCUAUCAAUAUCAAAGUUGGAAUUCGAUUUGGAGAUUCAUGUUGAGGUUCCGGUUUAAGAAUUUCGAUUUCAGAUUUUUUUAUCAACAACCAGGACAAGUUUCAUUGAGGUUCAUUUUUUCUCCUGAUCUUUACUUUAUCUUGAUUUUUUAUUGAUGUUGUGGGUGUGAGUGAUUUAUGUGUUGUGUGUUUAGUUUGAAUCUUCGUUAGUUGUUUGUAUUUGAUGUUCGUUUCAGAUUUUGAGACGUGAUUGGAUAAUUGAAGCAUGCGCUAAUCAUGUGGUUAAAAAUGGACUUGGGGUGGAAUCAAAAGUUUCUAAAAGUUGCAUAGUUAAAUUUUGGUCGAUUGUCGUUUUUUUCAAUUCGGGAUAAACAUGAAUGUGAUCGAGCUCAGAUAGGUAAACAUAGGUCGGGUAGCUGAAUUUAGGGAUUGUGAAUUGAUAGAAUACUUGAGUGGUGUGAUUGAAUGGUUUUUGACUAUAUUGCUUUGGGAUCACUUGUAUCAUUUGGCCGGAGAAUGCCCCGAAGUACUUGUAUUAUUUUAUUCGGGGAAUGGCCCGAGGUAUUUUGUAUCCGGAGGCCCAAGGCAGCGGGUAAAAUGUUGGAGCAUAGUUUAGUAUAGGUUAGAAUAGGAUUUAUAUUUUUUGCAUUUUUUUUACUUUGAACUGUAUAAUUGGACUGAACAUUAUAAUUUGGAUUUUGAUUUGGUUUGUGUUUGUUUGUUUGAUUGUUGUGUGUUAUGUGGUUUAUACAUUCGUAGUGUCAGAAUUAGCCAAUACGCUCCACCAAGAGACCGUGGUCGAACCACGGGAUCGAGGGGUGCCUAAC
rnacentral:lncRNA from 1 species